AUGCUUACGUCAGCAGCACACAUACUACAGAUGGAAUGAUACAGAAAAGAUGAGUGUGGUCCCUGUGCAAUGAUGACCCAUAAAUUCAUAAAGCAUUCUAAAGUUUU
ensembl:snRNA U6 U6 spliceosomal RNA